rnacentral:lncRNA from 1 species
ACAUGAUGCGCAGGUAUGGGUCUAGCUCCUGCAUGAGCUCAACAUCUGGGCCUGUCUGAGCUGCACAGCUGAAGAAAGAGACAAGAUGUCUAUAGCCUCACCCACUUGGGGAAUCAGGCAUGGCUGAGAAAGACAUUCGAGUUGUGCAGGUGGUGAUGAUUUGUGCUUUAGAGGAUGGAGGAGGCCUGCAGGGAAGGCGGAGCUGCGGGGAACACUCUCUAGGAGGGAGAGUAACAUGCCUACAAACACCUGGGAAGGUCCAUCAUCCUCCCCUUCCCCUACUCUGAGGAAUCUUCUCACCUUUCAUUAGACUCUAAGUUCCUUGGAGAGUCAGUACUCACGGGUCAGUAUCCAAGAGUGCCAGCUUUGGAAUCAGAUAUAAUCUAGGGAGUACUUUUAGGAUCAACACUUGUGGACGGGAGAAGAUGGAAGCAGGACUGGGUAGAAGAAGAAGCUGGGCUGCAAUGAAGUCCCAUUGAAGACCUCAGCUGACCUUGCAUGGAGCCUGGAUCCCAUCCAGGAUACCUGUUACAUUUACUUGUCAUAUCUCCUCAAGCUUCUCUUGGCUAUGACAGUUUUUUAGACUUUCCUUGAUUUUGAUGACCUUGACAGUUUUGAGGAGUUCUGGGCCCGAUGUUGCAGAAUGCCUCCUUAUUGAAAUUUGUCUGAUGUUUUCCUCAUGAUUAGAUUGGGGUUGUGAGUUUUGGGGGGAAGGUAAUAGAGGAAAAGUGUCAUCUUCAUCACAUCAUAUUAAAGGUACAUAU